UGAUGUUCUUGUAGUUGAAUGA
rnacentral:tRNA from 1 species